AUUGAACGCUGGCGGCAGGCCUAACACAUGCAAGUCGAGCGGAUGAAGGGAGCUUGCUCCUGGAUUCAGCGGCGGACGGGUGAGUAAUGCCUAGGAAUCUGCCUGGUAGUGGGGGAUAACGUCCGGAAACGGGCGCUAAUACCGCAUACGUCCUGAGGGAGAAAGUGGGGGAUCUUCGGACCUCACGCUAUCAGAUGAGCCUAGGUCGGAUUAGCUAGUUGGUGGGGUAAAGGCCUACCAAGGCGACGAUCCGUAACUGGUCUGAGAGGAUGAUCAGUCACAGGGGAAGGGCGCAAGGGUCCGGAGUCCGACGGGGGGAGGCGGGGGGAAUGUUGGGAGAAGGGGCGAAGGCUGUACCCAGCCAUGCGGGGGGGGGAAGGAGGGUUUUCGGAUUUAAAACCAUUUUAAGUGGGGGGAAAGGGCAGUAAUUAAUUACCUUGUUGUUUGGAGUUUCCCAAAGAAAAAGGCCCGGGCAAACUUCGUC
rnacentral:rRNA from 1 species